GACGAACGCUGGCGGCGUGCUUAACACAUGCAAGUCGAACGGCAAGGCCCUGCUUUUGUGGUGUGCUCGAGUGGCGAACGGGUGCGUAACACGUGAGUAACCUGCCCUUGACUUUGGUAUAACUUCAGGAAACUGGGGCUACUACCGGAUAGGAGCUCCUGCUGCAUGGUGGGGGUUGGAACGUUUCGGCGGUUGGGGAUGGACUCGCGGCUUAUCAGCUUGUUGGUGGGGUAGUGGCUUACCAAGGCUUUGACGGGUAGCCGGCCUGAGAGGGUGACCGGCCACAGUGGGACUGGGAAAGGGCCCAGAGGCCAAAGGGAGGAAGCAGUGGGGAAUAUUGCAAAAUGGGCGGAAGCGUGAUGCAGCAACGCCGGGUGCGGGAUGACGGCCGUCGGGAUGUAAACCGCGUUGGCCUGUAACGAAGCGUGAGUGACGGUAAUGGGUAAAGAAGAACCGGCUAACUACGU
rnacentral:rRNA from 1 species